AUGUCGACGCCGCGUCGGGCGGCCGAAGCCGCCGUGGCGGAGGCGGACGCCCUGAUCUCGCUGCCGACGGGCGUCCUCGACGACAUCCUCGACCGCGUCGGCCUCCGCGACGCCGUCCGCACGUCGGCGCUCUCCCGCGCCUGGCGACGCCGCUGGGAGGACCUCCCGUCCAUCGACUUCUACUUCCCCUGCCCCGACGAGACCAAGCAUCUGAGGGCCGUCGACAGCGUGCUCCUCCGCUGCCCCGGCCGCGUCCGGCGCCUCUGGGCACACCUGGACGAGCCCUCCGCAGGCCGCAUCCACGACUGGCUCCUCGUCCUCUCCCGCCGGGGCGUCGACACCCUCAACCUCAGGCCCAGCUCCUUCGACGCCGUCCUCGCGCUCCCCUCCUCCGUCUUCGCCUGCCGCCGGCUCACCAACCUCCGCCUCCACGCCUGCGCCAUCCCGCCCCUGCCCGCGGGCUUCGAGGGGUUUCCGGAGCUGAGGAAACUUGCUCUCACCUGCGUCCGGUUCCGGGAGAACGGGGAGUACCAACUGGAGGAGAUCAUCGCGACGUCGCCCUCGCUUGAGAAGCUGGUAUUCUGGGAGGUGAAAAUCCUGGGCGACUUCAAGGAGCUUCUGUCCCUGCACUCUGCCAACAUUGAUAUACUGGACUAUUUAGGGGGCCGCGAUUUCGCCAAAUUCCUCGCCGGCUUUUCGAACAUUACCAAGCUUGUGAUAUGUACUCGGCAUUCACCGUUAAAUGGGGCUAUAAUACUAGAGAGGCUUCAAUGCAAAUUUGGUAACUUAAAGAGCUUGACACUAUAUACACAAUUUUGUGAGCUUGCCUCCAUUCUAUCAACCUAUUGCUUACUAAGGAAUGCCCCAAACCUUGAAAGACUCAAAAUACUGAUCGACAAUAGUGCCGAGCAGAAAUUUGAGGCACAUGAAGAGUUUCAAAAUUCACAGUGGACCGGUGGCAUGUGUGCCAACCUUCAGUUCAUGCAGAUGACUGGUAUUCAUUGGCUUCCAAAUGAGAUGACUUUUAUAGAGCUUAUUCUCUCUAAAGCAAGGCUUUUUUGCACAUUAUUUAUUACUCAUGGUGAGAAUUGCUCAAUGUCGAAUGAGGAUGCAAUGAACAAGAUACUAAGUUACAGAAGAGCUUCGACCUGUGCCGAGAUUAUGUUUAAAGGGAAAGCCAGUGUCACAUUUUUUCGCAGCUGA
rnacentral:rRNA from 1 species